AACGAACCUGGCGGUACGCUCUAUGCAUGCAAGUCGACCGGGUCAUAGCAAUAUGAUCAGUGGCGAACGGGUGAGUAAUGCGUAGGAAUCUACCCUAGAGAGUGGGAUAAAAUACCACAUAAUCUCUUGUUAUUCUAUCUAUAUAUUAUUAUGUAUACGUAGUAAUCAAGUUUAGCUGAAGUUACGUAGUGAUUUGAUUUGUUGUGAUAGUAAUAUAUAGAUGGAAUCUAGAGCAAAGGCGCAAGUCGCUUUAGGAUGAGCCUACGUCGGAUUAGGUAGUUGGUGGGGUAAUAGCCUACCAAGCCAGUGAUCCGUAGUUGAUCUGAGAGGAUGAUCAGCCACAUAGGAAUUGAGAUACGGUCCUAACAUCACAAGAUGGCAGCAGCAGGGAAUAUUGGACAAUGGGGGAAACCCUGAUCCAGCGAUACCGCGUGAAUGAAGAAGGUAGAAAUAUUGUAAAGUUCUUUCACUCGUGAAGAUAAUGACGUUAACGAGAGAAGAAGCACCGGCUAACUCUGUGCCAGCAGCCGCGGUAAGACAGAGGGUGCUAGCGUUGUUCGGAAUGACUGGGCGUAAAGGGUGAGUAGGUGGUUUAUUAAGUAAGAUGUGAAAUCCCUGGGCUUAACUCAGGAACUGCAUUUUAUACUGAUAAACUAGAGUACGGUAGAGGAAGUAGGAAUUUCUAGUGGAGAGGUAAUAUUCAUAGAUAUUAGAAGGAACACCAAAGGCGAAGGCAAACUUCUGGGCCGGUACUGACACUGAGUCACUAAAGCGUGGGGAGCAAACAGG
rnacentral:rRNA from 1 species